GUUUCAGUGGGCUUUCUGCUUUGUGGAUCACAGCUGUGGGUGGUACUGAUGAUAAUGUUUGAGAAGAGUUGAGAAGAGCAUUUUUUGGCAGCGCUAAUUUGACUGGGAAAAGAAAGGCUUUACUCUUGAGCAAAAGCUAUUAUAAUUAAAAGUUGGGCUUGCUCAGUAGUGUGAGAAUUUUUACUUUACACUGUAUUACUGGAAGUCUUGCAGGAAGAGUGAAUGUAUUAUUUUGAGUCUGAAACUCUGGCUCCUUUUUACCCUCUUUGAAUAGCUCCUUUUAUAACAUAACUUUCAAAAAUGAGUUUUCUGGGAAUGAAUUCCUAGGUUGGAGCAGACUGUUGGGGUUUCUCUUUUCCCCAUGUCUUCAGGCUCCAUGCAGGCGGUGCCAGUGCCUCAUGCAGAUUCAGGCACCUAGUGGGCACUUGAUAAAUGUUUGGGGAAUGAUGACUUCUUAACACAGAAGGGUAACUCGAUGUGUUCACAUGAUGGGAGCCUGGUGGGGGUUCGCCUAAAGAGACAGGUUGGAGGCUGAAGAAUUAGAAGGGAUGAUUGUUGGCCAGAAACCUGGGAAAGUGGGAGCUGAUGGAAUGUGGAGCACACGGUGAAGAAUUGCCUUGAACAGGCACAGGCAGCAGAAGUGAGAUUGCUGGAAAGUCUCAUUUGGUCUGAGUGGCAAACUAAUAACACUAAUGUGGUCUGAGGUUAAUGCUGACUUUUUGAGAAAUGUUCAUGAUCGCUUUUUGCCUUGCCUUUGUCACUGCUGAUUGCCGUCUGAAUCAGGCUGGGGCAUUGGGAGGGCAGGGAGAAGGAGUGGAGUUUAGUGAGCCUCUCGGAAGAGAGUAAAACUGUAGGGAAAUGGCCAAAGCUAAGUCAUGGAGUAAUGUUUCUAGUAAGUGGUGGCUAAGAACAAAUUUGACUGAUUAAUCAGAGUUUAGGAACGGUGGGACUCUUUACUGAGUGGUCAUUUUUCUUUAUUAGAAAUUUGUAGUUGAAAUAUUGUCAGACUAAGAGCCGUUUUUACCAUUUAUGAGGCAGAAAUUUUUAAAAGUAAAAUGUCAGGCGAACUCUGUUCUUCUGGUACUUACAGUGGGCAGCCAAUUGGGAGGUCAAGCUGCCUGUUUCUAAAACACUUCCCUUGCAGUCUCUGCGACACAGUCUCCUGCCAGCCCUUAAUCUCCGUGCUCGGAGCUUCCGAAUUAAACUCCUUGAAUUUCCUAGGAGAUCCCCUGCUUUCUCCCACCUCAGAGUCUGUGCCGUGUUGGAUGUGCUCUGUGCCCACCUUAUCAGUCUGGGGGUGUCCGGGCUCCUGGGUAGAAUUGUGUGCUCCGUAAGUAGUCACUAAACAAAAGAACGCUGCUCCCUUCCGAAGGUGUUGGCACCACGGGCGAUUCCAGCCCCUCACUCGCAGCUGAGGAGGCACUGUCACAGGAUCUGUGACUUACGUGAGGUUACAUAGCCAUAGUGACACAGCUGGGACCCAGAUCUAGUCCUCGUGAUUCUCACUGCAGCACUGUCCCGAUCUGCCAGUGUGACAGCCCGUGUUGCUUUCUUCUUGGGAUCUACUCGAGAUUAGUGGUACUGGCGGAACCGUUUAAAUUCUUGACGGCGGGGAGAGAGUAGAAUGUGUUACAAUAGGUAGGGUCGUUUGGAAACUGGAGGCCUUUACAGCAGUAUCUGAGAUCCAUGGAUCAGACUGGAAAGGGGUUUUAUUUCCAAGUCCCCUGCAACUGCGAGAUUGUGUGUAAGCCUCAGGGGGUGUAGUUUCUUCAUGAUUCCAUAGCUUUGGUUAGAUUCUUUUUUUUUUUUUAAUUGGAUUAUAGUCAGUUUACAAUUUGACAAUGUUGUGUCAAAUUCCAGUGUGGAGCACAAUUUUUCAGUUAUACAUGAACAUACAUAUAUUUCACUGUCACAUUCUUUUUCACCGUGAGGUGCCACAAGAUCUUGUAUAUACUUCCCUGUGCUAUACAGUAUAAUCUUGCUUAUCUAUUCUACAUAUGCCUGUCAGUAUCUACAAGUUUCAAACUCCCAGUCUGUCCCUUCCCACCCCCACCCCCCCGGCAACCACAAGUUUGUAUUCUGUCUGUGAGUCUUUUUCUGUUUUGUAUUGAUGUUCAUUUGUCUUUUUCUUUUAUUUUCUUUCUUUUUUUUUUCUUUUUUUUUUUUUAGAUUCCACAUAUGAGCGAUCUCACAUGGUAUUUUUCUUUCCCUUUCUGGCUUACUUCACUUAGAAUGACAUUCUCCAGGGGCAUCCAUGUUGUCAUUUUUUUGGCUGAAUAGUAUUCCACUGUAUAAAUAUACCACUUCUUCUUUAUCCAGUCAUCUGUUGAUGGACAUUUAGGCUGUUUCCAUUUCUUGGCUAUUGUAAAUAGUGCUGCUGUGAACAUUGGGGUGCAGGUGUCUUUUUGAAUUAUGGUUCCUUCUGGAUAUAUGCCCAGGAGCGGGAUUCCUGGGUCAUAUGGUAAGUCUAUUCCUAGUCUUUUGAGGCAUCUCCAUGCUGUUUUCCACAGUGGCUGCACCAAACUGCAUUCCCACCAGCAGUGUAGGAGGGUUCCCUUUUCUCCACAGCCUCUUGUCAUUUGUGGACUUUUGAAUGAUGGCCAUUCUGACUGAUGUGAGGUGAUACCUCAUUAUAGUUUUGAUUUGCAUUUCUCUGAUAAUUAGUGAUAUUGAGCAUUUUUUCAUGUGCCUAUUGAUCAUUUGUAUGUCUUCCUUGGAGAAUUGCUUGUUUAGGUCUUCUGCCCAUUUUUGGAUUGGGUUGUUUGUUUUUUUCUUAUUAAGUCGUGUGAGCUGCUUAUAUAUUCUGGAGAUCAAGCCUUUGUCAGUUUCAUCUUUUGCAAAAAUUUUCUCACAUUCCAUAGGUUGUCAUUUUGUUUUGUUUAUGGUUUCCUUUGCUGUGCAGAAGCUUGUAAGUUUAAUUAGGUCCCAUUUGUUUAUUCUUGCUUUUAUUUCUAUUGCUUGGGUAGACUGCCCUAGGAGAACAUUUUUGAGAUGUAUGUCAGAUAAUGUUUUGCCUAUGUUUUUUUCUAGGAGGUUUAUUGUGUCUUGUCUUAUGCUUAAGUCUUUGAUCCAUUUUGACUUUACUUUUGUGUUGGUUAGAUUCUUAAAUAGGUCUCUGUGACUCCUCCAAAGGUAAGGACCACUGCUUUAAGGGAAAGCAGCCUUGGGAAUAAUGCUUCAUAAAGAAUAUGUAGCUAGAACUAAUGCUGUGUUCUAGGUUACCGAUACCUAUAAUUAUGGAAUUACAGAUAGUUGCAUUUGGCCCCUAGCCUUCUAUCUUCCCUCUUGUUCAGUUUAUUGAUUUUUAACCAGAAUCUCUGACGGCCCUUUUUGGCUUCUCCCAGAUCAUUACUGCCUGUAAACAUUCCCGGCUCUGAGAUGGAGCGCUGUCAGAGCUCUCGAGGUCUCCGCCGUCCCAACUCCCAACUCCCAACUCCCUGCCUCGUCUCUUCGUUUUCUUUCUCGGUGUCUCUUCGUUUUCUUUCUCGGUUCGCUCUUCCGGAGAGUAAACCAGAGAUGUGGGCAGAUAAGAUCUAGGAAUGCAAAACUAAAAUUAACAUAAAUGUGCUCUUCACUUUCUCAAAUAAGCGUAUGUAUGAUUUGUUUCUCCUGGAAACUCUCCUCCAGAUUCUCUCUGCUCUGUUCCUGGUCAGUUGUGCCAUUGAAAUUGUUGCUUCUUAUUGGUAAGCUGUUAGGGCCAGAGAAGAUUUAAACCAACUAGUGAGUCAGAACUUUUGACAAUGCCCUCCAUUACUUUGGACAGUGUUGAGUCAGUUGAGCCAUAUACUGAGUCAGUUGAGCAUGUAAAUUUAAAAUAUAGCCGCUGAUAACUGAGGAACAGAUGCAGUUCAGCAGGCUGAUGGUAAAGAAUAUAAAUUCUGACUCUGUCCUGAGUGGAAUAGUAAGCUUUCCUGUGACGUUCUUAAUUGGAACGAUGUUCCACCGAGCUGGGCUGUUGUCUGAAAUAGCUGUUAAAAAUGAAUGUAGUGCUGCUUGAGAUGUGCUGGAUGCAGUGCUAGUUCAACGUUCUGUUUAUGGUGCAGUGGUAGUGUUUCAGGAGGCUGUUUUGGCUUGACAGUGAAACCCUUGCUUGUAAAGAUCACGGACACCGCCAGACACCUUUAAGGUGAAACCUGUGAGUGGAAGAAAUGUCCACAUACGUGAAAUCUCCCCAAAUUUAGCAUGUGGUUUCAGGGCUGUCGCAGGCACCCCGAGGAGUGUUGGGGUUGAUGACCUCCAGGAAAGAAGUCCUGGUCGAGGAACUGGUGUAAGGUUUGUUCUCUGAAAGCUAUCGGUUCCUCUUGAGAGUUUACUCACUCUGCUUCCAGGAAUUCUUGAGGUGGAUUGGGGUAAGGUUGCCUGGCUCCCAGAGGGAGUCAAGGCUGGGCCCUUAGGACAACUGCAGUUCCUCCCAGACGAUGGGGAUGGAUUUAUGUGUCAAGCAGUGAAAUUAUAAAACGUAGAUUCACAUUUCAAAUCUCAAAGUUUUUAUUUUUUGUAUGUCUAUUGCUGUAACUUAAUCUCCAUCAUUGUCGGGGUGAAAUAGUUAUAAUACUUUAUUAUUAUAUAAUAUUAAAUAAUAUUUUAGUACUUGGUACAUAGCUGUGUUCUAUAUAGUGCAUGGAAAACUUUAUAUCCUCGUACUGUAGAAUGUUCUGCCUUGAACUGUUACGAUGGAAUAGCAAAUAAGAAUUCAGGAAACUGGAAGAGUCAUCUGUUAAUUUUAUAAGAAAAAUGUAGGAUCCCAAAUCGGUAGAGUUUCUACUUACAGAAGAAAUAUUGAAAUUUCUUUGCUUAUACUUAAGGUCCCUGAGUGAAUCUGGAAUUAUAUGAUGAAUUAUAGGACACUGGCUUUAUUAGUCAGACGUCUGUGCGUGUAGUCUGUGUGAAGACCCCUGGACGGGUGCAGCACAGUGGGAAGGAAGCUAGCUGCCUUGUGCGCCUACGCGCGCUGCGUCAGAGUGUCCAGACUCAGUCUUGGCCCUAAUGUGACUGUGACGGAUUGCGGAGAGAGAAUUCCUGGUGGAGUAAGUUCUGCUCUGCGUCACACUUUUUUUUGAGAGGUUCUCCUCUUUGAGAAAAAAACUUGGUAAGAAUAAAAUCGCUUAUCUUGACUGAGCUCCUACUUUGCAUCAGGCGUGUGCAGUGUAACUUCUUGUGGAUCAGCGGGGGUGGCUACAAAGGAGAAAACACUGAGUUUUUCCGAAUUUAUGCUGCAGUUAAGUAGUAGAUCCAGAUAGGAAUCCCAGACUUAAUUUUAGAGCUUGUGUCUUAAUAAAUAAGUAAGUUCGUGCCUUGGUUAGGAGCACGUGAACACUGCAGAAGUUAAAACAGUGCAAGGCUGUGUAAGUCCUUUUCUGUAGGUGCUCACUGCGCUGGCUUCCCGUGUUCCUUCUCAGAGGCCUGGACCUCAGCCACGUGCGAGUCUCCCCUGCUGCCCCCCACCAUCUGUCCCACACUCUCCCCAGCCCUAUGAAGCCAAUAUAUCACAGUUAUUUUUACUUAGUAUGUAACGGAAACCCUUGCAUGCAGGCCUCGUGUGUUCAUUUGAACUGUUGCGUGGUGUUUAUUGUUCAACCGCCCGUCUACAAAGGCCGUGUGGCUCGUUUCUGGUCUUCAGCUGCUGUGAACAGUGCAGCAGUGAGUACCCUUGCAGAGAGGUCGUCGGCAGCGUGAGACGGUGCCCCUGUCCCUUCCGCUCCUCAGUGCUCUGAUCGUUGUGUGCCGGGUGGAAAAUGGUCUUACCUUUGCUGUAUGUUACAAUUUUCUUACUAUGAAUGAAGCUGAACAACUUUUACUUUUGAAAAGCCGUUUGCAUUUCCUUCCUCUUUCUCAUGUAAGAGCUCCUUACAUAUUAAGGAAGUUAAGCCUUUGUCACACAAUACAGAUAUUUUUCAACUUUUUGAUUAUCUUUGACCUUGUUUAUAUUUUUUCAUGUAGAAGAGUUAAAUUUUUAUGAAAUCGGAUUUAUCAUCCUUUUCUAGGCUUUCGUGCCGUGGUGGCUUAUAGAGGCCUACUUUAUUCUAUGAUUACAAAAAAUUUUUCCAGUGUUUUUCAGUAAAAUAUUAUGGUUAAAUUUAUGUUUAAAUCAUUGCUCAACCAGGACUUAAUUUUUGGUAUGAGAAUGAGGUAGCCAUCCAAUUAAAAUUUUUUUCUAAUACAAUAUAUGUAACAAUUUUCAUUUUAACCAUUUUUAAGUACACAAGUCAAUGUCAUUUACUCCAUGUACAAUGUUGUGCAACCAUCACCACUGUUUCCAAAACGCUUUCAGUACCCCAAAUAGAAACUCUGUCCCCAUUAAGUAAUGACUCCCUCUUCCCGCCUCCCGCAGCCCCUGGUAACCUCCACUCCACUUUCUGUCUCUGCGAAGUUGCCUGCCCUAGGUACCUGAUAAAGUGGUCAUACAGUGUCUGUCCUUUGUGUCGAGAGGGACUUGCUGAGCCAUGUUGUAGCCUGGACCAACACCCUUCCUUUCUUUGCGUGGCUGACUGGUGUCUUUUUGUGUGGAUGUACCACAUUUUGUUUGUCUGUCUGUUAAUGGACAUUUGGAUUUUUUCACCUUUUGAUUAUAGUGAAUAAUUAAUGCUGCUGUGACAUUGGUGUGCAGAUAUCCAUUGAAGUUCCUGUUUUUAAUUCUUCUGGUUUGGACCUGGAAGUGGAAUUGCUGGAUAGUACGGUGGUUCUGUGUUUAGCUUUUGAGGAAUUGCUGCACUGUUUUCCACAGAGGCUGCAGCAGUUCAGAUUUCCACCAGCGGUGCUCCAGGGUUCUGGUUUCUUCGUAGCCUCUCUAACACUUGUUAUUUUCCAGUUUUUAAAGUGUGGUCAUGCGUGGUAGUUAUGUCGUUGUGGCUUAGACUGGCAUUUCCCUUAUAAUUAGGUGUUGAGCAUCUUUUUCAUGUGUUCACUGACCAUUUGUGUAUCUUUGGAGAAAUGCCUAUUGAAGUUUUUUGCCCUUCAUUAUUUUUUUAAAAUUAAGACUUUAUUUUUAGAGCAGUUUUCGAUUCACAGUAAAGCUGAGAGGAAGAUACAGAGCUUUCCUGUGUACCCCCUGCCCCACACGUGCACAGCAUCCUCACCAGGUGGGACAUUUGAUCUAGUCUGUGAACCUUCAUUGACACAUACUAAUCACCAAAAUCUGUAGUUUGCUUUAAGGUUCACUCUCGGCGGUGUACCUUCUGUGGGUUUGGGCACAUGGAUCCGUCAUAUGGCAUCAUGCAGCGUAUUUUCCCUGCCAGAAAAUUCACCUGUGCCCUGCCUUUUCUUCCCUCCCUCCCCCGACAACCACCGAUCUUUACUGUCUCCAUAGUUGUGCCUUUUCCAGAAUUCCAUGGAGUUGGAAUCAUAUGUGUGUAGCCUUUUCAGGCUGGCUUCUCUCACUGUGUGCUGUAGUUUAAAGUUCUUCCAAAAAAAAAAAAAGAACGUAAAUACAAAACAGAGACAGACUCAUAGACAUAGAAGACAAACUUGUGGUUGCCAGGGGUGGGGGUGGGGGUGGGAAGGGACAGACUGGGAGUUCAAAAUUUGUAGAUACUGACCGGCAUAUGUAGAAUACAUAAAUGAGGUUAUACGGUAUAGCACAGGGAAAUAUAUACAAGAUCUUGUGGUAGCUCACAGCGAAAAAAAAUGUGACAAUGAAUAUAUGUCUGUUCAUGUAUAACUGAAAAAUUGUGCUCUGCACUGGAAAUUGAUACAACAUUGUAAAAUGACUAUAACUCAAUAAAAAAUGUUUAAUAAAAUAAAGUAAAAUGCAGGUCAAAUCCCAUUAGAACAAUGUAUAUGGUUAAAAUAAAAAUCUCUGAUCCUAAAAAAAAAAGAAGAGAAGAGACACAUGGAGAGAAGGCCAUGUGAUGACAGACUCAGAGAUUAAUGAUGCGUCUACGAGCCAAGGAUUGCAGCAACACCAGAAGCUGGAAGAGGCAAGGAAAGCUCCUUCCCUGUGGGCUUUGGAUCGCAGUGACCCUGGGACACCUUCAGUGUGGCCUUCCAGCCUCCAGAAAUGCGAGCGAUGUGCAGGAUGACCCUCCCGCGUGAUGCUCUGCAGCGACACUGUUUGACCUCUGCUUGGAGCCAUCUUUCCCUCCGUGACGUGGCAUCCUCCUGCUCACCCUUCAGGUCUGUUCAUGCGCUCUGCUGGUCACGCCCGCAGGCAGGAAGAAAUCCUCCUCCUGUGUUGACUUGAAAUGUGAGCAUACUUUUUUUUAUGGCACUUACUAGACUGGCCCCAUAGUCCCAAGGGAAGUCUUAAGGUCUAAUUUCAAAAAGACAGUUGUCAGACACAGUCAUGCAAACAGUAGUAAAAAUUGGCAACAAGAAAAGUGAUAGGAGAUGAGAAGCAGAUGUAGUUUUUUAGGUCUUUAAUCCCAUACAGGAGAAGGUUUUUGGUGUUGUUCUUGUUUAUCACUGAAAUGACCAAACACAGUGAUAUGAAAAAAUCCACGUUAUCCUCUGACACUAGAGAAGGGUCCCACCCACAUAUUUGAGACGUAGGGGGUUUGGGUAGUCAUGGUGGGGUGUCCAAAAAAGUCAGUAAGGGCUGCUGCCUGCACUUCCUUUCUGUAAAGGUGAGCAAACAAACGUGAGGCCUAGGGAAAAAUCAGCACUUCAAGACAGUGAGACUGCAUCAUUCAGAGCACGUGAGGUAGGACAGGAAAGAGAGAAAAGUGGACUUCAGAUUCCCAAAAUGACAAAAGCAGAUGGUAAAAAUAAACUGAGACCAGGAAAGAGUUCUGGGAGUUAUAAACAGAACUGUUAAAAAAUUCAGGACUCACUAGCAGAAGAGAUACUGCAGAAUACCAGGUUAUCCUGGGGAAAACCUCUGAGCGUUCAGGAAAAAGAUUUGAGAAAUGCGUAUUAUGAGAGCACGUUUUAAACACAGGGAGGUCUCACGUCUGUGAUAGGGCUUCCUGAAAGAGGUCACGGGGGGACUGGGAUGCAGCGGCAGCUGAAGAGAGAGCGGGAGAACGUCACUGAGCUGAAGAGAGAUCAGUCUCUCGGGAGUGCCUUCCGAAAGCAUCUGCACCUCGGUGCGUCCUGAGGAGUUUUCUGAGUAUGCAGGGCAAAGAAAAAACCAGACAAGUGUUCCUCAGGGGAGAACAAACGAGAUUUG